rnacentral:rRNA from 1 species
GACGAACGCUGGCGGCGUGCUUAACACAUGCAAGUCGAACGGAAAGGCCCUGCUUUUGUGGGGUGCUCGAGUGGCGAACGGGUGCGUAACAGGUGAGUAACCUGCCCUUGACUUUGGGAUAACUUCAGGUAACUGGGGCUAAUACCGGAUAGGAGCUCCUGUUGCAUGGUGGGGGUUGGAACGUUUCGGCGGGUGGGGAUGGACUCGCGGCUUAUCAGCUUGUUGGUGGGGUAGUGGCUUACCAAGGCUUUGACGGGUAGCCGGCCUGAGAGUGUGACCGGCCACAUUGGGACUGAGGUACGGCCCAGACGCCUACGGGAGGCAGCAGUGGGGAAUAUUGCCCAAUGGGCGGAAGCCUGAUGCAGCAACGCCGCGUGCGGGAUGACGGCCUUCGGGUUGUAAACCGCUUUCGCCUGUGACGAAGCGUGAGUGACGGUAAUGAGUAAAGAAGCACCGGCUAACUACGUG